AACUUUAAUGCUAUUUGAUAGUUCGAUAUCCACUUAGUGGAUGUUUUGGGUGACUUUCCGACAUCCCUGACCUUAUUCCAUUAAUUUUCCAGAUUCUGGGGUUUUCGGUGUUCGGACCUAGGGUUUUACUGCUAUUCUAUGGCUCGAUCCUCACUCGGUGGAUGUUUUGGGUGAUUUUCCGACGUCCCUGACCCUAUUCCGAUAAGUUUCCAGACUCUACGGUUUUCGGUGGUCGGACCUAGGGUUUUAUCUGGCGAUUGAAGGCCGUUCUUCUCCGAUCGCAAAGAAGGAGGGUAAUUCUAUCCUUGUUCUAAGUGUUGUAUAUUUUGCAUGUGGGUUCUGAUUCAACUUUAGCAUGUUUACCGAGACUGUUUUUGAUUUCAAACUGGUUAUUGUUCAUGACUUCUAAUAUGAAUGUUAAUACCUCCUCAGUGGACUCUACCAGCCCCCUUUUAUUUACCGAGACUGUUUUUGAUUUCAAAACUGGUUAUUGUUCAUGUAUUCUAAUAUGAAUGUUAAUACCUCCUCAGUGGACUCAACUAGCCCCCUUUUUGUUUACUCCUCUGAUGUUCCUGGAGUUUCUCUUGUGUUCACUCCCUUCUCGGGCAGUGGUUAUGGGGGUUGGAGGAGGAAAAUGAUUGUCCCGCUGUCUGCUAAAAAUAAAAUUGGC
rnacentral:lncRNA from 1 species